rnacentral:rRNA from 1 species
UGGGGAAUAUUGCACAAUGGGCGAAAGCCUGAUGCAGCGACGCCGCGUGAGGGAUGACGGCCUUCGGGUUGUAAACCUCUUUCAGCAGGGGCGAAGCGCAAGUGACGGUACCUGCAGAAGAAGCACCGGCUAACUACGUGCCAGCAGCCGCGGUAAUACGUAGGGUGCAAGCGUUGUCCGGAAUUACUGGGCGUAAAGAGUUCGUAGGCGGUUUGUCGCGUCGUUUGUGAAAACCAGCAGCUCAACUGCUGGCUUGCAGGCGAUACGGGGAGACUUGAGUGCUGCAGGGGAGACUGGAAUUCCUGGUGUGGCGGGGAAAUACGCAGAUAUCAGGAGGAACACCGGUGGCGAAGGCGGGUCUCUGGGCAGUAACUGACGCUGAGGAACGAAAGCGUGGGUAGCGAACAGG